rnacentral:lncRNA from 1 species
AUAUUAGAAUAUCAAAUUUACACUUCUUAAUAAAGAUUAACUCUAAAGAUACCGAAAACUAGAUUAACUUUGGAUUCUCAUUAGUAACUCCAAAAAAAUAGAGAAAAUAUUGCAGAUGGCUAACCUGUCUUAGUUGGUGGUCGGCCAGUUCUUCCACGGCGAGGGUAAGGGUACUCACUAGACCCUCCAAGAAUAGGACGGACGUAUUUGGCACCCUUAUCAGGUUUCCCCAAAUCAUUGUAGUAAGCAUAGUCAUAAACCCUUUCCCAUUCUUGGAGCUCUCCUUUUCCAUCUCCCCUCAAGUGUACUAGCUCUUCUUCUAUGUAUUUUCGCAAUGGCAAUGGUGUCUCGCUUGGAAGAUAAGUCUGCACAAACAUACAGCAGGCAUGAACUUUUAGUCUUUAGCUUAGGAUACCAUAUAUUUUCAACCUCACCAAAAAAAAAAAAAAUUACAGCAGAUACUAUGAAACGUGCAAAUCAUUCGUUACCUUGUUGACGAAGAAAACACGGUCUUUGGUGUAUUUUUCAGUAGGGUACACCCAAGAGUUGCAAACGAAGUGUACACGGCCCUCACCGGGAACAUUUUCGAGUGUGACGGUCUUGAGGAAGAACUCACUGUGGUGGUUGUUUUUUAUUAAGAAAGCUCCUGGAACUCCUACUUCCUCUUCAUAGUCAAAUGUAACCUUGAAUGCAGACUCUCCUGCUGUUAAAGGUGUGAUUGUGGUAAUCCAGUCUUCCAAAUAAGCUGGUUGUCCAAGCUUCCCCUUCAAUCCAUUUUCUACAAAAUUCAUAUAUCAAUUAGUCAAAAAUUAAUUUAUCAUUCAAGAAAAUAUACCAAGUUCAUAUGCUCGAGUUCUUUUUUCAUCUUUUACUUAUACUACUUUGAUUUACAGAGAAUGGAAUUUGAACUUGACCGCAAGGGGAUUAACACACUAUCAUGUACAACUGACCUACCUAACUCACAUAUUCUUGUGCUCAAAUUUUAUUAGGAACAACUCUGUAGUUGUUUUAUUAGAAUAUUCAAGGGAAAAGAAAAAAGGAAUUGGAUCUGGUAAAAAGUUAAAAACCAUAGUAACAAAAAGGGUUAAAAGCCAUGUCCAGUUGCACGGUGCUUCAUUUUCAGGUUAAACUGGUGGCUUAGACUGGUAGGUCUUUUUUUAUUUUUUUUUAUUUUUUAAUUUUUUUGUAAAAAAAGGACUAGUUGGUAGCCAAGUUAUGACAGUUCACCUUUUUAAGAGAUCGAAAAAAUUCAAAGAAGUAUUUUAGUUUCUCCCAUACACCAUCAUGUGAUUAACCAAGUUUAGACUGAUAGUUGGCUUUCAAAGGUAAGAUUAACGUGCAUGUCUAAUCAGUUAAUGACAUGGCCACUAUGAAAAAACAACAAAUGGAAUGACUAAUAACCAUGAUUUAAAAAACAUUAUCUUAUUUUUCACAAGCUUAAUUAUGUCACUUUUUGAACUAAACCAACACCAAUUUUCUAACCAACUAUUUCGAAUUCCUAUCAAGCAGUCAUGACAUAAUUACAACUAGACUAAUUAUUCCAAAUGGUAGAUACCCCAAAUAGGAAAAUGUCAGGGUCUUGAAAAUUUUGGAUCAUCUUUUAUCAAACAGAUAAUGUCGCGGUUAGUAGUUGAACUUAUUUUUUAAUGAUUUAAAGGAGUCCAACCAUUAACCAGCAUACAAAAGAUGAUCUCUUUAACAUCACUGACCAAUUAAUAUAGUUCCUUAUGUUGUGCACCAUUAAUAUUUUAAUUCUGAUUCUUAACAUACGAUCUUAUUUCAUGAUCCAAAUAUAUGACUUGGUCCCCGGUCCGGUCCAUGCCGGACCAUAGAGGGCUAAACAGUGUAACGCAAUGAAAAGUAAAAUAGAAUAAAAGCCUCAGGAAUGGAAGCAAACACUGUUAUCUUUUUACUCAGAUUUUAGACCACAAAAGUUAAAAAGGAAAAAAAUAGACCGACUUAUUGUGAUCGAGGUCGUUUCUUUGAAGAUAUGUCAUAAAGCUGUUUCCAUUCUCAGCCGUAUAAAAGGGACGGAAUUAAAAAAAAAAAAAAAAAAAAAAAAAAAAAAAACAAGAAAAAGCAACCCCAAACCAGUUCUUCACUUUGCGAGGAUCGAAGAAACUCUCUCAAAGCAAAUGAAAACCGUUGAUAUCAGAAUUUCAUCUCAUUUUCAAUCUCAAUGAUAUAUUUUUGACACAUAAAGUUGAUCGCGACACAUUGCCUAUCAAAUGUAAGUUUUAUCAUUAGAUGUUGCCUAAUUGGAUUAGAGAGUAAGCAAUUUAAUCAAUUUUGCGUAUUUAAACAAAUUAAAUAGCAUUUACUCCAUCAAUUAUUGGGAAAAAAAGAAGAAGAAAAGUUCAUGUCAGAAUUAAUAACGCAACCAAUCCACCAAAGAAAGAGGGAGAGUGAGUAAACAAUCUUAAUCUUAUCGUAAAUAAUGCAUCAAAGAAAAAGAACCAGAAGAAAAAUGAAACGAUGAUCGAGAGCAAAGACUAAAAUCUUAAAUCAAUCUAAAACAAACCUCAAAUGAUCUCUAGGAUUGAUGAAAACUCUAUCAAUUAUUCGAUUUUCUCCCUAACCAUGCACAGAAACUGUAUAAUCCUGCAAUGAAAAGAUAAACUCACCGGAAUCAUCAGCAUGAACGGCACUGAUGAGCUGCAGAGAAACCCUUUGGCCGACCAACUCAUGCACGCGAUCGAGAACAGAAGCGUUGAAGUCGUUGAAGUCCAAAACAUUCUUCUUCAUCAGCACCACAGUCCCAUUGAUCUUUCCAUGAUUCUCAUUUUGCUGGUGGCCUGUGAGCUUCUCAACGAUAUUCUGCAGCAUUUUGUUCUUCUGCUUUGCUUUACACGAAUUAAGCAAAGAACAUAUGCUAUUGUGAUCUACAAAUCCAAAAGAAUAUAUAUGUUUUGUGUUUUAUGAAAAAAGGUGGGUGGUGAGGUGAAUCGAAAGUUGAAAGCUGGUAUGGUCGAGUGCAGCAGGGCGUUGUGGUAUUUAUAGGGAACAAAGAAAAGUGGAGCAGUACGUUCGUUCUAUCACUUUAUUUUUUUUAAUUCGUGCCAAGUCAUCGGUAUUUUCUUGGAACAAGUCUACACCACUUACCAAAAUUGCGAUUUGGCUAGUCAAAAUAACAAGGCCAAAAAGGUUUAGGUUUCUAAUUGAUGUUUUGGGAAAGAUAAAAGGAACGUGCACAGAUUAUUUUUCAUAAGAAUUGAGAAAUAGGUUUUUUUUUCUUCAUAAUCCGAACAAAUUUAAGAUUAGGAGAUAAGCUAGUUUUCCCUACUCUAAAAGGAUUUAGGAAUCUUAUACUAUACUUGUAAGACAUGUAACUAUCGAUCUAUGUAUUUAAAGAGGUUUGUUGGAGGUUGAUUAUUCACACGAACAAUGUAGAGAAUACAAGGGUAAGGGUAGAAAGCCAAGAGUGAUAGAGAGUUCUAAAGCAAGGUUUUGGGGUUUAGCAUAAGGGUUUCUAAUAAGUUCUUGUAACCGAGUUUUUAUUCUCCGUAGUGCAGGUGAGUACUCAAGAGGAAUCACACAAUAAGUAGGUAAAGUUCGUUAAACCUCGCUAAAUUUUUUGUGUUUAUGUGUGACGUGUAUACUUUAUUCACAUAGUAUCACCUCAUAGGUUUGCUUAACAUCGAAGACUAUCAAUAAACAAAAUCAACUAAGGGAAAUUAAAAUCAACUAAAAUUACUUGUAGGAAUGGCUAAGUGAUGGAGACUAAAAAGAAGCAGUGUAAAUUUGACCUAUACUCGUUUUUCAAGACUAGAAAAAAUAACAUCCCAUCAGAAAUUUAACAAAAAUAUUACAAGUGGCCCAUACAUUGUACUUGGUACACACACAUAAAAUAUGCAACACAUUAGUAAAAUUGUGAAUUUAAUAAAUUUAUUAUUUCAUUGUUACACCCCUCGUGUUGUUAUUAAAAACAUAUUUCAAGAUGAAUGACAACAUAAUUAAUAGUUCUUAAUGUUAAACUUGAAUUUCAAUCAUAUCGAAUCGGAAUCAUUGGGUUCCAAAUUCUAAUCCAAUAUUUUUAAUUUUUUUUUUCGCCGGUAAGAUACAUUCCGAUUCUGCUUCUAAUCUUUUCGGAAUUUUGGAUGUCAUCAUAUUUGAUUUCGGUUUUCCAAAAUCAAAUACCAUUGGAUCAGAAUUGGAAUUUCAACCCAACUUUGUAGCCUUAAUUAUUUUAAAGAUGAUAAACUAGAUACACGUUCAUGGACUUAAGUAAGUGACCGUCGUUCCUAAAUGAUUUGGCCAAAUUUGGUUGCAUCGUUGACAAUUUCGGAAGCCUAAAACGAAAGUUGAAUACGCGUUUAUACCCUUAUUUUCUUUUGUUUUUUUACCCGAAAGACAACUUGGAACCGCAGCUUUGGCUUUAUCAGAACUGGGAAACAAUUCCAUAAGAGCCGUUGGAUCUCCAAUUUCAGCCUCUUGGUUAAGCUGCCUCAAUGGACUUAUUCUCUGCAAUAAUAUUACACCUUUCUUUAAAAUAUUACACAAAAUAUUAUUCCUUAUGUUUCCUCGCUUUUUCACACGGGUCUCUUCAAUUGGGAAUUUCUUUCAUUUGGUUCAAGAUUACAUUUUCAAAAAAUUUUGUUUUUGGGUUUGUGGGUAAUAGUUUAAUGAGAGUUUUAACAAAAUAUUUUCGGUAUUGCUCACUUUUAACGAAAAUGAUAUUUUUAUUCUAAAAAGUCAUUUCUGGUACUAUUCAGUUACAACACAUUUUUGUCAUUUUGAUUAAAAUUCAAAGUUUUAAAACAAUUUUCAUUAGUUUUCCUUAGUUUAAUCAGUUGAAAAGAAUACAUACACGACUAGUAAUUUUUAAGGUUUUGAUCAUGAAUGUUCUUUGAAAUUGACCAUUACCAUUAAAAUGGUCAUUGAAAUUGAAAAUCAAAUCCCUGAAAAUAGGUGUCGCAAAUCAAUGUGGUCAUUUCGUCACAAUUCUGUUAAGUGUUGAUGUGGCACAUAAAUGGACCCCACAAGAUUUGCGGGUUUUUAUCACAAAUGGUCAUUGAAAUUGACUCACACCAUCAUGAUGGUCCUUGAAAUUGACCCACAUCAUCAAGUUGGUCCCUAAAAUUGAAAAUCGAUAAAUGUAGUCCUUGAAAAUAGGUGUUGCAAAUAAAUAUAAACCUUUCGCCACAAUUCUGUAAAAAUUUUGUUAUGUGCUGAUGUAGGUAUAAUAAUUAAUUAAAAAAGUUGUCUAAAUACCUUAUUGCACAAUAGAAUUUUUUUCUUAUAGUAGGACCUACUCCGAAGAGAGAUCCCUUCCAUAAAUUCUCAAGGGCACAAGGCUUAACCAAGACCUAAGAGGGAGUUUGGAAAUAGUUUUCAACUAACCAUAGACGCACCUCGGUUAUAACCUCAUUAUCUCAAGGCAGACCUCGCCGUUCUUUGAAUCACUAGACCACCAGAAAGCGUCGAACAAGAUUAAAGUUGUGAGGAUGUUGAUUGCCUAAAUGUUAACGAUGAUGUCCCAGAAGCUAUUGCCAAUCAGCCAAGCCGUCACCAAAGGUGAUGUCGAUCUAGGUUCAAUACGGUGAAGGGUGUUGAAGUGUGUAAAGUUGGAUGCAAUGAGAUUUUUUUAGAGAAUAGAUAGCGAAGGAGGUAGAGGAAUGUGGACUAAGAUUGGAGGUGAUUAUAUACUGGGUUUUUGGGUUCAUAAUUUUUUAUUAACAAUUAAAUUAUUAAACCUAUUUGUAAUUUUUUAAAUUUAAUUGGGCUUGUGUGAUCCAUUUAUGUAUCACAUCAGCACAUAACAUAAUUUUGACAGAAUUGUGAUGGAAUGACUACAUUGAUUUGAGACGCUUAUUAUGGAAGGACCAUUUUGAUGGAACAUGUCAAUUUCAAGGACCAUUUGUGAGAAAAUAGGACUUAUGAGACCCAUUUAUGUGCCAUAUCAGCACUUAACGGAAUUUUAACAGAAUUGUUACGGAAUGACUACAUUGAUUUGAGACACUUAUUUGCAAGACUACAUUGAUCGAUUUUCAAUUUCAUGGACCAUUUUGAUGCUACAUGUCAAUUUUAGGGACCAUUUUGAUGUUGCAGGUCAAUUUUAAGGACCAUUUGUGAGAAAAUAGGACUUAUGAGACCCAUUUAUGUGCCACAUCAACACUUAACGAAAUUUUAACAAAAUUGGUAUGGAAGGACCAUAUUGAUUUGCGACACCUAUUUUUAGGGACUACAUUGACUGAUUUUCAAUUUUAGGGAUCAUCUUGAUGGUGAGAGUCAAUUUCAAGAAUUAGUUCUGAUAAAAACCCAAUUUUUAAUUGCAUGAAACACGUAUUGAUUACUAAUUUAAUCAUAUUAUACAUGCAUAAUGGUGCAUAAGUACAAAUGUUCCAAGUACUCAAUCCUUGGUAUAAUGUGUAUGACAUGCUUGAUUUUGAUGUAAUCUUUAUGUCAAACAUGUCCCGCGCUUACGGUCUAAAUUAAUCAUGAGAUGACUGAGAACUAAGCAUAUUUUCAUUUAAAAUGUGACAUUUAGUUUAGAUAUAAAGCACACUGCUACUAAUUCAAUUUUUUCUUAUGAAUAAUAAUGCUUCGCGAACCAAAUUUUAUCAUCAGGUGUACAUAAUGGUGUGUUUAUCUCUAUAUAUCAUUUGUUGAAACCUAGACUCACACUAUAAGGUUAGAAUACGGAGACACGCAUUUUUGAUACACGUUUUUGUAGAGUCUAAUUCGUUAUGUAUUUCAACGAUUCAAUUAUCUAUAUUUUAUGUCUUACCUCAACGAUCAUGUCUACAAAAAAUCAUCCAAAUCCGAAACAAUAUGCCCGUUGAUAAAUUUAGUGUUUUUUGUAUAACAGUAUUCAUCCAUUUUCUUCAUUACAAAUGAAUGUCUUAAUAGAUUUGGAAUUAUUUAAUUUUUUUUUUACAGAUGAUCUAUGAAUGAUGUACUAAAAUAUAGAUGGUUUGGAUUGUUAAAAAACAUUACGAAGUGAGCCGGCUCUACAAAAUAAAUGUCAACAUGUGUGUCAAAAAUGUGUAACCCUGAAUUCUAACUCAUAUAUGUAUAUAAUCUUUAACAGUCGGUGCGUCUAAUACUAUUAAACUUUGCCUAGAAAAAUUGAAAAAAAUAGUGUGAUCUUAUCUUCGAAACUGGCAUGAACCAUAGGGCUUUUCUAAUCAACUGCCAUUACGUAAUAUUCCACCGCAUUUUCGUCUCGUGGUAUUUGGAUUCAGUCUAGUAAUUAUUUCACACGAUAAUUGAUCUUAAACUGAAUGGAUUAGGUAUAACAUGCCGUGGUUUAUCUUAAUUGAUCAAAUAUAUACAAUUACCAACUGUGAAAGCAACAAGUGAAUUGGUUUUUGUCUAUGCUACGCGCUAUAUUUAUGGGAAUACAGAAAAAAUCAAACCACUUCAACUUCACGUGUGGUUUUGAAAUUUGAAGAAACCCUAAUCAAGGAAAGGAAAUUUCCCUGCAUGGCAGAGUUCGAAACAAGAAAGUAGAGAAACAGGAAACCUAGAAAUUUGGUUCAGUACCCAAAACAAGAAGACGUGCAUGCAUGGGGUUACAAUUUGAAUUUACUUCAAAGUCAAACUUUCAUUAGGGCCAUUAACUUUGUAUCAUUCCUCUCACGUUUUAGUAUUUCGCUUUGAACAAAUUGUAGAUAACCUAACGGUUAAUUCAUGCCUAACUAUAGUACCAAUAAUUAAUUUGGGAUCUCUUAUGUUAAUUGGUAUAUAUCAGAAUUUGAAAGUUAUAUGUUGGUUAAUUUUGUAUGGAACUAAAAAUGUUGCAUGCAUGUAUCAGAUUAAUAAUGCAGCGUGCUUGCCUCUUGAACCCAAAUUUAUCACUUUCUCGUAAAGUAAAGUAGUUUAGAAUAUCGUCUUGUGAUAUGUAUCAUAAGAUUAGUUUUAGUGUUUAUAAAUCAAGUAGCUAGCUUGUCCCAAAUGCUUGUAGAACGAAAAAGUUGGAUAGACAUGCUCAAAUUAUGAAGAGAAUAACCAACACUAGAAUUUGAUACCAUGUUGAUAAGUAAUCAACAAAUAAUUACACUCGGCCCUUUAAAUCUUAAAUUAUUGGAGGUAGAGAACAACUUUGACACUAAGGAUUCAUAUAUGUUGUAUUUUAUUUAUUUAUUUAUUUAUUUUAUUUAUAAUUAUUAACAAAAGGUGGAGUUUCAAACUCAAAGUGCAUGAGUUAAAACCCAACACCCAAUUCAUUAGGAUAUUGGACCUCAUGCAAAUUUUCAUAUUAUGUGAAUUUUUGGGAUCGGGUUAUCAACAAGGGGGUGUUGUGUGUGUAGAUUAUACAUCAAUUGAGGAUACCAGCCUCCAAACCCACAACCUUGCACACUUAACCACAGUGGUAGGAACAAGGACCAGAUUAAAAUAAAUGACGAUCAGAAGUAAGCUAAUGAAGCAAAGACUGAUGAGAGAAGAAGAAAGAAAAUUCAUAUAUUUGUUGCGCUUAAUUAUAUACACGCCCGACGACUACAUACAAAUAAUUGUGGGGGCACAUAUGUCGUCUGACGUGUAUAUAUUCAAGCUUCGAAUGGUUGCAAUUGUAGUAUGCCUUUCAAUUUACAUUGUUAUUACUCUCUUAAAUGGUAUCGGAAGAAUCACGAACACUAGAUAACUUAGAUUAGUGUUGUGAAUUUGUUGUGAAUUGUAAAUUACCAGUAAAAGGUUAUCAAAUUAUACAGGUGUGACAAAGUCUAUAGCCCAUGCUAGUCAUUAACUUGAUCUAAAAUUCGAAAUGGAACAAGAGAGGCUGCGGAGUUGUUGGCUUCACUUUUUUAUUUUUUAAAUUUUUUUAUAAAGAUGAUGAUGAUGAAGUAAUCACCGCGAUAAAGAAACUCCAAUUAAUUAAAAUAUGAUGGUGGUGAAGUAAUCACUGUGAAAUUUCGUAACUGAAAAUGAUAUUUAACGAAUCAAGUGGUCCGAAAAAGAAAGGGAUUCUUUCCGGAUCUCUUUCAUCAAAUCCAUCCCAUUAAUUAGUUCGGGUUCUUGAAAUUUGAUCCAAUGACUAAAAUUAUUAUAACUUUUAAAAUGAUCUCUUGUUUUUAACAUUUGAAUCAAAUUUCAAGGGUUUGGAUUGAUUGAUAAGGUAGAUUUGAUAGAAAAGAUUCAUUUCCGUCGGAAAUGAGCUUAAAGGUCGAUAGAGAAUGGUAGAUUGACUUGACUGAUAAGAUCAUGUGACCAGUAGUUGUAUCAUUGAAUUGAAUUGACAAUUUGAUAUUCCAAAAAAUAAAAAGAGAAAAAUAAUUGAAUUGAUUUGGUGUUGUCAUACAUACGUAUGGACCAGGUCUAAGACAUGGGUAGACAUGGGUAGAAAUAGACAAUGAGAUACUUGUCCUUCUCAUUCACUUUUGACUUCGACAAUCAUAUGCCAUGAUAGCAUAUGGGGCACAUAUAACUCGAUACAAAAUAGGAUAAAAUAUUCUUUAGUCAAAAAUAGGGUCCGACUCCUGUUUCAACCCGUAUAUUUGUUUUCUUAUAAUUAUUAGAUUUUUAUUUUCAAUUUUAAUCAUUCAUAUUUCGCAUUACUCAAUGUUAUAUACAAUUGAAUAAAAAUUAUAAAAAAUAAACAUAAACACAAUUUUUAUAUUGUUAUUUAUACAGCACAGUUUGGUUUGUGCAUACCAAAUCGUACAAGCAAAAUCGUUAAUUAACCAAAGUUUGCAAGUCGGAAACGUUGUUGAAAAAUUAAGGUUUGCCUACUCUUAUGAGGAGGACUUGCAAUGAUAAGUCGUUUGACAUGUCAGAUCGUCAUGGCUUGUAGUGAUCCUCAUUUAUUCUAUUCAAUGAGUAUGUCUAGCAAUUAUUUUAUUUCUUUUUAGGUGAACAUUUGUCCGGUAAAUGGAACUUUCAAUGAAACAAGAUAAAAGAGUCAUCAAUAGCAUGUCUUUACAGCAGCCUGCUAAAAUCUUUUCAAAGAAAAUUACGUGGAACAAAACUUUAAAGUAAAAUCAAAGGCAAUUAACAUGAGACUUUAGGACGAUCAUCUCGAAACGAAAGGUCCCGAUCCGGGAGACUAAAAUGCACAACUAAUUCUGGGAACAACUCCAUCCACACUUUGAGUUUUUAGUACUCUCUUAUUCAAAACUAGAUGCAACAACACGAGAACAAUGAAGUUAAACAAAUAGAGCAAACAACAUGAAAAACAACAAAAAAACAUUAUCUCAUUAAUGAAGUCGGCUGUAUUAAUACUUAAACAACAUUGUACGUGAUUUUGCGUCAUGUUUUCAAGUUAAACAAAUAGUGAACACCAUUAUUUUUUUUUACCACGCCACACCUACAACGGAAUGGCCUUUGAUUUUACUGCAACCCUUGAGAUCUGCAACAGCAAUUCCCUACAUGGAUGUUGAAAGUCUAGGGAUCUGGUAAUUAUACGACAAUCAAUUCUACUGGAUUGAGUAAUUACAAUUUGUAUGCUAAUCCUUUUCGUCAGAACGUUUUCUUGGUAGGGAAUAGUUUCAACAAUAAAGAAUUAGACGAUAUUACGGAAGAGGAUGUAGAAUGCAUUAGAAACCCUAGAGGAGGACGGCUAAGGAGACAUGGUGGUCUUGGGGCUAGAGAGUGUUGAAAUCUAUUUGUCCCACAUCGGAUAGAGGGAAGGAGAAAGAGGCAUUUAAAUAGAAUUACUCCACUCUAACUAACAUGGAGGACUUUUGUGAUAAAAUCUCACACCUGACGGAUUGGGUAGGUGGUAAAGUGGGGACAAUAUCGGUGUUGUUGGAGUGGGCUCUCGGCCCGUCGACCUGAAAAAUUCUACAUGGUUUCAGAGUAGGAAUAACCUGUCUCCAUGUCUCUGUGAUACUUGUUGCUCUGUUCUUCAAGUCUGUGUCUCUGUGAUACUUGUUGCUUUGUUCUUCAAGCAUUCACCCUAGCCUCGGAGUCUGUGUCUCUGUGAUACUUGUUGCUUUGUUCUUCAAGCAUUCACCCUAUCCUCGAGUCCGAGGCUGAUAGCUCACUUGGAGCUGGUCACCAAAAUCAACCGGAGAUCGAUGUAAAUCUAAAUCAAAGUUUGAGUUCUGUGCUUCUAAAUGAGUUCAACUACUUACCAUGGUCAAGGGUAGUUUCACUUGCCUUAGGAGGAAGAUCAAAGCUAGGGAGCAUUCACCCUUGAUCUUCCUCCUAUCCUCGAGUCCGAGGCUGAUAGCUCACUUGGAGCUGGUCACCAAAAUCAACCAGAGAUCGAUGUAAAUCUAAAUCAAAGGUUGAGUUAUGUGCUUCUAAAUGAGUUCAACUACUUACCAUGGUCAAGGGUAGUUUCACUUGCCUUAGGAGGAAGAUCAAAGCUAGGGUUCAUAAAUGGAAGUAUUAAAGCUCCUGAUGCUUCCUCUCCCACUUAUGAAUCUUGGCUCAACAAAGAUCAGUUGGUCAUGUCUUGGCUCCUUAACUCCAUGGAGCGGAAGAUAGUUGAGAUAUUCAGCUACUCUUAGUCAUCUUUCUAGCUAUGAAAGUUCGUGCAAGAGAUGUGUGGAAAUCAGAAUAAUGCAGCCAGUGUGUUUCAGCUUAAACGUUUUGUUUAGCUUCUUGGAAGUCUGAAAGGUAUGUGGAACGAGUUGGAGAUAUAUCGUCCACAUAUAACUGACUAAAACCCACUUCUUAAAAGGGAUGAAUAAGACAAAAUCUUCCAGCUUCUCUCUAGUAUGGGUUGUGAAUAUGAGGAUCUAUGUAGCCACAUUCUCAUGAAUCUAGAGCUUCCUACCUUUGCAAAUGUUUGUGCAACAAUUCAAAGGGAAGAUGUGAGGAAAAAGGUUAUGAGCGCUAGUACCAUGACGACUGCCUUGGAAGUUAGGGCUUACUUUUCCAGUGAUAAGAAGUACAAAGGAAGAAUAUUCAUCUCAAAUGCAAACAUUGUGAUUCCACUAGACACGUGAUGGAUUAUUGCUGGAUUCUUCACCCUGAGCUCAAACCAGACUUCAUGAAAAAUGAAAGGUUUAUUCAGAAGAAGCCCCAGUUCCCCAGUUACAAAGUUAAUCAUGCCUUAUCCUUGUCAACUAAAGGCUCAUAGGAUCUUUUGAAAUUUACCUCUAAUCCCACCACACUUAUAAAUGAGUUUGCUGCGUACCUUCAAAUGAAAAAGGAAGUCCGUGGGAGUGAUGAAGCUGUUACCUCUGGAAAUGGCAACUCAACUGCUUUGCUGGGAAAGUUUGCAGGUUUUCUGGCUGACUCGAAAAAGCUCACUCAGGACAACAUGCAAGGUAUAUUGACAGCUUUCAAAACUGCUCUAAAUAUAAAUCAACUGCAUGAUUUGUGGGUCAUAGAUUUCGGUGCCACAUACCACAUGACAAAUCAAUUUUACAAGUUGCAUGAUUUAAAAAAAUUUCCUACACCUUCACAUGUUUCAGUUGUUAAUGAGGAGGGAGCUAAAAUGUUAGGAAUGAGAAAAAUACAUCUAGUGUUUGAUAAUAUAGGGUGCGUUUGUUGCGCCGGACUGUCUCGGACUGGACUAGCUGUCGGGACUAAGCUGGACUGGCUUAGAUUGGACUAAGCUGGACUAACUUAGUGAAGCGUUUGGUGCAGUCUCGGACUAAGAAGCAGGAUAAGAAAAACAGUACUGUUCACCAGAUUUGUGUUUGCUUAGACUAGGACUACAAAUUUUUGCCAUUGUGUAAUAGAGUAAUGCUACAAAUCUCAUGAUAUGGGUUAAUUGGAGCAUAUUUUUGCCAUGUAUAUUAUGAAUCUUAAAAAAAAUUGACAAUUGUUUUGUUUCUAUUACCUGCUAAUAGAAUUGGGUUUAAUUUGCAAAUGUAGCUUGAUUUAAACUCUAUCACCCAACAGAAGAAAUAUUUUGCCUUAACUGAAUUGCUAGCUCUCAGUGGGUUUGAGUGGAAUGAAGAGAAAAUGAUGUUGGCUUGUGAGAAAAGUGCGUAUGACGAGGCUACGAAGGUUUGCGUAUAUCUGAUUGUAUUUUUUGUUUUAUCUGAUUGUGUUUUGUUUUUAGAAUCUCAGUUCCUUGAUUAAUUACACUGAGUUCAAAAUCUCAGAGUUAAUAUCAUCAUCUUCUUAAUUACGAAUCAGGAUAAUGCACUAACAACAUACAUAGAAAAAGAAAAACCUCCAUGGGAGGUAAUUCCAAGUUCUUUACCGACACCAUCACCAUACACUCAGAAACCACUUGAAGCUAGAUAUUAGAAGGAUUACAGUGCACAUAAACAAAAACUGAGACUUGUAUGAAAGACAUAGCUUUUUAAAUACCAGCUCUUUCAUACUGUAAAGAAAAAAGAGUUAUGACAAACUUAUAGAUGAUCUGUUGAUCUGCCAGCUUGUGUGGCAACAUAAAAGAGUAUAUAUAUAUAUAUAUAUAUAUGUAUAUCUUUUCGGAAAGGUUCACCCAUCAUCCCUCUGAAAAAAGGAAAAACUUAACAUUGUUUUUUUGUUUUCCAUAGCUAGCACACGUCAAAACAUCCUGCCCUGUCCAUUAUUAAUUGUUCUGCCUCUUGUCCUUUCUUCAAAGAUCGAUUUUUCACUUCUUCCUCUUUACGCUGCCCUCUUCAUCCUGUAAUAGACCAAGAAUUAAUAUAUUGUAUUACACGCCUUGUGUUUUGUGUUUUUUUUUUUGUAGGGUAAAAAGGAUGCAAGUGGAUUGUACGAUAAGCCUUUUCCGCACUACCACAGUUUGGGAGAGAUUUAUGCAAAAGAUCGUGCUAUGGGUGCAAAUGCUGGUAACGCUGAUGACGAUGAAGAAGAAGUUAGACUUGAAGAUGCCAAUGUCAAUCAACAUGAAGGUGAGGAUGAAAGUGGAAAUGACUUUGAUACUUCUUUCUCAGUACCAAAUACCCAACAACAAAGGAAUGCAGAAAGUAACACAUCAAACAUUAGUCGCAAAAGGACAAGAGUAGCGGAUGAAAUGGCCAAGCAAUUCUCUAUUAUGGCUAAAGCUAUAGCCGAUGUGGGACCUAAGAUUGAUGGUCUAGUUCAUGCACUGUCAACCGAUAUAAAUCUGACCGAAAUGCAAACAAAAACUUGACAGUGAGUUGACCAAAAUGGAGUUUUUGUCUCCCAUGGAUUUAUUUAAAGUCACUAACUUCUUGGCCAAAGAACAUGACCUUUUUGAGGGUGUUUUUCAACAUGUCUGAUGAAAGGAAGAGUGCAUAUGUGACUACUUUGUUGCAGACUUGGAUGCAUAACGACAUCUAAGUGAUGGUCCAAAUAAUGUGAAUGCUAGUUUUUUGCUAUGACGUGCUUACUGCCAUAAUGACAUAUCAGGGAAAAUUGUGAAUGUUUUGUAAAUCUAAUGACUUAUUAGAUGACACCAUAAUGGUGAAGAACUACUUUUUGUUGGUAUUAUGAUGUUUAGGCAGGUUAAGAAUAUUUUGUUGACAAUCUGAUGUGUAGGCAGGUUAUGAAUAUUUGAUAAUAUGAUGCAUACGCAGGGUAUGACAAGUUUGCUUAGGUUGGUUAUGGUGGUUAGAUAGAUGUACUUUAAUGUAAAAUAUUAACUUUAAUGAAGUUAUUUCCUACUCUUUGUUUGUUACUAAUAUUUUUUUCUUCAUUUAUUUACUAUUAUACAAAAUCCACCUCUUGAAGAUCACUUUAGUUCAAGGGGAAUCAAGUUUUUUGAUUUGAAAUGGUAAAACAAAAUUUCUUCUACUCCUUGACAUUAUGUAGCAAAAUAUAUUCUUGAAGAGUUAAGACUGAAAAUGCUCCUAACAAUUUCUUUCCAUGUCCUUCUUGCUCAUUAAGCAUAAUUCUAUGCUCAUUCACAUUAUGCACAACCAGUGGCGGAGCCAGGAAUCUUACCACAAGGGGUCGUAGUGUAAAAGUCCAGAAAAAAAAUUUAGGAUGGAAAUGUUAAAGUUAAUGCUUUACUUAAACUGAUUAUGUGUAAAAGGGCUGACUGUUGCCUUUAUUAGUCGACCCAUUCUAUUUAUUAGUCGACCCAUUCUAUUUAUCAGUCGACCCAAUUACUUCAGUCGGCUUAUGUAUUGAACUAGGGCUGACUGUUGCCUUUAUCAGUCGACCCAUUCUAUUUAUCAGUCGACCCAAUUACUUCAGUCGGCUUAUGUAUUGAACUAAUUCUGUGUAAAAGGGCUGACUGUUGCCUUUAUCAGUCGACCCAUUCUAUUUAUCAGUCGACCCAUUCUAUUUAUCAGUCGACCCAUUUUAUUUAUCAGUCGACCUAGAGUAAAUUCAAUCGAUCUAAAGUAACUCCUAAAUACAUGUAGAAUCAGUUUGUUACUCAAUGCAUAAUCAGUUUGUUACUUCAUGCAAAAUCAGUUUGUUACUCAAUGCAGAAUCAAUUUGUUACUUCAUGCAGAAUCAGUUUGUUACUCAAUGCAAAAUCAGUUUGUUACUAUUAUAUACUAUAUCAAAAAAUAUUAAAAAAAAGUAUAUAAAAUAUUUGAUUUGGGACAAGGGCAUUUUAGUAAUCAUACUGGUUUAUAUUCCGAUUCUGCUGAAUUAGUAAACAGCUUUAUGGAAUUGUAUUCCGAUUCCAGACAAUUUUAGUAAACAAUUUCAACAAGAAUCUGAUUCUGAUUCCACCUCAUUUCAAUUCCUCCUCAAUCAAAUUCCUCCUCAAUCUGAUUCCUCUCAAUUUGAUUACGGAUUAGUAAACGCGCCAUAAUAGUGGCCAAUACAUGCAACUUCAACAAAUACAAGUACAUAAGAUCUCCAUAAUUUAGAAAAUCCUAGUUAACAUUAGUUAACAUUAGCCAAAAUAGAUCUCUAUAAUUUACAAAAUGGCUAGUUAACAUAAGCCAAAAUACUAGUGCAAAGCUAAGUUAUAAGUCAUAACAUAAGAUUGUAUGAUUAAUAAAAUACAUCCAUGUUAACGUUAAUAAAAUACAUCCAUGUUAACAUUAGCCAAAAUCCUCAUCCGCUUGCGUUGUCGCUUAAAAGCCUUUGGACGAACACUUUCUUGAGUUCCGGUUUGAUUGCCCUGAACACUCCCACAUUUUUUGGUUUAUCCAAAAUAAGAGACAAUGCAUCAAUUUGAUCCAUAAGAGAGAGACCCAUUGCUUCAAGUUCAUUAGCUAUGUCAGUAUGAUCUGCAGUACCUUGAACUAAAGCUUCAGUUACCAUUUGCAUCCUCUUCCCACUUUCAACAUAAAAAUCUUUCAGUCCACUGAUAAUUGCCUCGGUUCCAUCACUUGAACUUCCCACAGCUCUUUUCCUCUUUCUUUGGCUAUUUUCAGAUGGGGUGCUUUGUUGGCUUUGUUGGUUCAUUGAAGAAACAAAAUUUUCACCUCCAAUAUCACUUUCACCAACAUGAUCAUGACUUUGUUCCUCCACCAUUUGAGCAGGGGUUUCGACUACAUUACCCGUAGCCCGAUCUUUUCCAAAUAUAUAUGCAAAUCUAUCAAACAGUGGAAAAGGUUUGCUUCUCCAUCCAUCGGCUUCUUUAUUUCUCUAAGAUUAUAUCAACAUAGCAAAACUAAAAUUUAGCAUGCGUAACAAAUAUAGGAGCAAGAAUAUAACUAAUGCAUAAAUAAAAUAGGAUAUGAACCUGCACAUAAGUUUGCCAUGCGUCAUCACUGUCAACUUCAACGCACUUUUUGACAUCAUUCCAUGCAAAUCCACUUGUGUUUAUCAUGUCAACGACCAUACUAUAUGUUUUUUUCCAUUUUCUUCAACUUGGACUCAAUAUGUGGAUUUGCCUUUAUAUUUGAAUGAGGACAUAAAACAUUGACAGCUUUUUGCUAUUUCAACCAAAGUACCUUGUUUGAAAGCACCGGUGUCACACCGUUGCUUCCGAGCAACAAAAUCCUCAAGAACUCCUAGUAAUACUUCUUCCUCAAAUGCUUCCCAUUUACGCCUUCUUCCUUUUGGCUCUUGAGUAGCAUUCAAAAUAUUAUCGUUAUCCAUACCUAAACAAAAAAAUAUUUUAAUGAAGGAAAAUACCAUACAAAUAAUCAAUUUGCAUAAUAUCCAAUCAACUUGCAUAAUAUCCAAUCAACUUGCAUAAUAUCCAAUUAAUUUGCAUACCAUCCAAUCAUUGUGCUAAUAUCUAACAAAUGCAUGAUAAAAAGGAAUACUAAAAUAAAAUGUUAUCAUUAAAACAUAUAGCUAGUUCGGUUGCUGGUUCCUAAUUGCUCUCCACUCAUUAUACAUUUCCUGAGCCAUAUCAUUCCUCAUUGCAGUCCACUGGUCCGAUGUUUGAACACUACCAACAUAUUCACCUUCUUCUGUAUUUUGUCCAUCUUCUAUUAUUGGCAAAUUCUCCAUUGGAUCUACUGACAUCUCUUGCCUAAUAAGAUUGUGUAGUAGGCAACAAGCGGUAAUUAUUCGACCUUGUGUCCUUAUCGGAUAGAAAGAUGGACUCCUUAGUAUCGACCACCUUCCUUUUAGCAAGCCAAAACAGCGUUCAAUUACAUUCCUUGCCUUAGAAUGCUUCAUGUUAAAAUAUUCUUCCUUAUUAGAAGGUGUUCGUCCCUCCCAUUCAGAUAAAUGAUAAGGUAUUCCUCUAUAGGGUGCAAGGAAUCCUUCACCAUUUGUAUAACCACCAUCUACAAGGUAAUAACAACCUAAUGAAAAAAAAAACAGACCUUAUUAGUGUUUUGUAGUUGACACAAACAGAACUAAACCUAACUUACAAAGUUGAGACUAAGUAAUAGUCUUACCCGCUGGUACCUUAAAACCAUUAGGCCUACUAAUCGCAUCAUGUAGCACUCUAGAGUCUGAUGCGGAAACCCUCCCACCCCGGAAACACAUAUAUGAACUGCAUAUCUCCUGAACACACACCUAACACAUUAGUUGCGACUCGACCCUUUCUUGUUCGGUAUCUUGGUUUGUCAAUUUCAGGUACAUGCACAUCAAUGUGUGUUCCAUCCAAUGCUCCCAAGCAAUUCUUAAAAAACCAAAAAUAAUAAACUUUUUGUUAAUUUAUACAAAGGGAAUGAAGAGUUAAAGCUUAGGGAAAAUGAAAAAAAAUUUCUCAUCAUACCUUAAAACAUCGCCACCUAGCAUCUGUAGAAUCAAUAGGCACAGGCUGGGGGACUUUUAGUAGGGUACCUUGUAAUCGCAAAAUUCCUUGCAAUACGCUAUUGAAAUACCUACUUAUAGUCUCUCCCGACCUAUAAAAUCUACCGCCAACACUACGAUUCUUAGUAUGAUGUGCUAAUAUUUGUAAAGUCAUACACACCUGUUCCUCUACAGACACCAAACCAUCAGUUUUUACCCUCCAUCUUGACGAAGUAAGUCGCAUAAUAUGCCAAAAGUCAUUCUAUCCAUUCUCAAUUCGUUAACACAUUCAGUAUCAGUAUUCCCUAUUAUACCAUUCAGAUAACACAAACUAAUCUCUCGUCUAAUAAGUGAACGGUUAGUCAAUGUGGGUCGUUCAACAUGUCUCUGUUUGCCACGUAGCAUCAUCACCACAAGAAUCGUACAAAUACAAAUUGUCUCCAAAUAAGACAUCUCUAACAAUAAGAUCAAUAAAAGCUUCCUUCGAUCCAUAUCUAUCCAAAAAAAAAAAAAAACAAUAAAACAAAUUAACUAAAUCAUUAACCCGAGGCAACAAAUAUACAGGUGGCGUUGAAAAAAAAAAAGUUUUCAUUAACCCGAGGCAACAAAUAUACAGGUGGCGUUGAAAAAAAAGUUUUCAUUAACCUGAGGCAACAAAUAUACAGGUGGCGUUGAAAAAAAAAAAGUUUUCAUUAACCCGAGGCAUCAUAUUCAAAAUGUUCUACUCUUAUACAUCUAUAAACAUGUGUCUAAGAACACUAGUAUGAGGAUUGCUAUCAUUGCUAGGCAUUGCAUGUGAAAAGGGAAAUUAAAGGACACCUGUAAUGCAGUAGCCUUAGCCUUAGCCUUCCGUUUAUGCUCAUCUUCUCUGCAACCAACAACCACAACAAAUUGCAAUUCAGCAUCAACCCCACACAAUACAAAACAUUCACAUUGUAUACACACUGCAUACAUACACACUGCAAACACAGUACAUACAUACACACACUACAUACACUGCAUACACUACACACACACUACAUACACUACACACACACUGCAUACAUACACACUGCAACACACAUACAUACAUACAUACACCACACACAUACACUACACACACACACAUACACUACACACACACCCUGCAAGUACACACACAAUGCAUACAUACAUACACACACUGCAUACACCCUGCAUACAUACACACUGCAUACACAGUACACAAACACACACACUGUAUACACCUUGCACACACAGUACACAAACACACACACACUACAUACACUACACACACACCCUGCAAGUACACACACAGUGCAUACAUACAUACACACCCUGCAUACACCCUGCAUACAUACACACUGCAUACACAGUACACAAACACACACACUGCAUACACCUUGCACACACAGUACACACACACUGCACACACACACACUGCAUACACACUCAUUCACACACACACUGCACACACACACACUGCUUACACACUGCACACACACACACUGCACACACACUCACACUCACACUCACACUCACACUCACACUCACUACACAUACACUACACACACACACUGCAUACAUACACACUGCAAACACAGUACACUACACACACUACAUACACUGCAUACACUACACACAUACACACUUAUUCACACACACACUGCACACACACACUGCUUACACACUGCACACACACACACUGCACACACACUCACACUCACACUCACUCACACUCACUACAUACACUACACACACACACACUGCAUACAUACACACUGCAAACACAGUACACUACACACACUACAUACACUGCAUACACUACACACAUACACACUUAUUCACACACACACUGCACACACACACACUGCUUACACACACUGCACACACACACACACUGCACACACACUCACACUCACACUCACUCACACUCACUACAUACACUACACACACACACUGCAUACAUACACACUGCAAACACAGUACACUACACACACUACAUACACUUCAUACACUACACCCUGCAUACAUACACUACACACACACACUGCAUACAUACACACUGCAAACACAGUACACUACACACACACACUACACAUACACUACACACACACACUGCAUACACUACACACACACCCUGCAAGUACACACACACUGCAUACACCCUGCAUACAUACACACUGCAAACACAGUACAUACAUACACACACUACAUACACUGCAUACACUACACACACACUACAUACACUACACACACACACUGCAUACAUACACACUGCAAACACAGUACAUACAUACACACACUACAUACACUACACACACACACACACACACUACAUACACUACACACACACACUGCAUACACUACACACACACCCUGCAAUACACACACAGUGCAUACAUACAUACACACACUGCAUACACCCUGCAUACACCCUGCAUACAUACACACUGCAUACACAGUACACAAACACACACUGUAUACACCUUGCACACACAGUACACAAAUGACACCGUAAUCUUAUAUUAUUACAUACGAAUCGAAUAAAUUCAAGAUACAAGAUCUUUGGACCAAUUUUAUGAAUCAAUAUUCUGUUAAACGUCCUUGAUUCGGUAUCAAUUUCCUAAGACACAUAAAGCAGAAUAAUAGAGCAACAGAGUAAAACCAGAACUCAAACUAAUCAAUCGUGCCUCAAGAAGAUCUCCCUAUUUAGAUCAUAUCACCAGAUUCACCACAUCCAUUUCUACCAAAUAUCACGAUGCAGACUAUCAAUUCCAAACCAUUAACGUAAUCCGAAUGAAACACUCAAAACCAAGAGCGAUGCACACAUCUAAACAUAAAGUUGAUAAAAAUCUCAACAUUAAAGAACCAUUUCAACUAUAUUGGCAUAGAAGAAAAACAAAACGUCUGUGUGUGUGUAUACAUAUGCAACUCAACCACUAAAUUCCUCAUCGAAACUUUUGAUUCGUUUAUAAAAUUAAACAAACAACAAUUACCAAAAUCAAAUUAAUCCGAAUUCCAACUAAUAAACAACCUAAUCAAAUCAUACAUCGAUCAAGCAAACCAAUCAAAUCUCCACAAUUUCCAUCAAUAAUUUUCAAUCAAUGGAUUUGAUUAGAUCCAAUAAAUACCUAAACAGAUCCAACGAUGAUAUUGUUGAUGGGGAUGAAGAUCAGCUUGACGAAGAACCCGACGAAACCCAUCACGACGAACCCGAUCGCUGUCCGGAGCGCGACCUUGGAGAAUUCUACACGACAAUCAACCAUCAAAUCUCAUCAAUUACACAUGCAUAUCAAAGAAUAUAACUUGUGAGAAAACACAGAUCCGACCCGAAUGCUGAAUUACCUUUACGAUCGGGCUUGUGGCAGCGCUUGACGAGGCGAAUGCUGUCCUUGGAGAACUCUCGGAGCAGAUCUGUUACGUGAAGACGAGGGAGCGGACGACGAGAGGAACAGAUGAGGAGCAGGAUGCAGAUGAGGGCGACCAGGAUGCAGCUGACGGCGAGCAGGACGCAGAGAUGAGGAUGAGGAGGACGACGUGAGGGAGGAGGUCUUACGAAUCCGGACGUUUUUGGGGUGGUUCGCUAAGAACUGCUAGCGAAGGGUUUAAUCCGUGCGAGUCGGAUCUAAUCCCAUUAAACGUAAUCCUUGCCCCUACCAAACAUCAGACUACAAUACCAAUUAGUGUAGUCUAGUCCAGUCCCCCCUAAGAAGGUCAAACAAACACGCCUAUAAAGUCUAAAGCCUUGUACAUUCUUUCAUUUCCUUUUCAACUUCCCUCAGUUGGAAAAAUCACACAUGCCUUAAACUGUUCAGUUACUUUCUCCCCUUACUAUAUCACCAAGAAGAAGAUUGGUGACGGUUUUUUCUUAGAUGGUCUCUAUUACCUAUCCAAGGAGACUUCAUUUCUCAAGGGAUUUCAAGUCAAGUUUAACUUAAGUCAAGACCAAAACAUGUGGCAUCAAAGAUUAGCUCAUCCAUCCGAGCCCAUUUUGUCAAGAUCGUUUCCAAAUCUGUGUAAAGAAGUGAUCCAGUGUGAUUCUUGUCACUUUUGUAAAGCUAUUAGAUUACCCUUUGGUUCAUCCUCAAAUAAGACCAAACAAGUUUUUGAACUUGUACAUUUAGAUGUAUGGGGACCAUUUUUUGAAUCUUUUGAUGGGUAUAAGUAUUUUGUAACUUUCAUAGAUGAUUUCUCGAGAGUUACUUGGUUAUACCUUUUGAAAUCUAAGAGUGAAGUUGUUGAAGCAUUCAUAGAUUUUCAUAAUCUUGUCAAAAAUCAUUUCAAUUCCCAAAUCCAAACGUUGAGAUCUGAUAAUGGUUCGAAAUAUAUGUCACACAUCAUGAAACAAUUUUUAAGCAGUAAUGGAAUUUUGCAUCAAACCAGUUAUGUUGGUACUCCACAACAAAACGGCAUAGCCAAGAGAAAGAACCGUGAUCUACUUGAAAAAACAAGAGCUCUAAUGUUGCACAUGAAAGUACCAAAAAGAUUUUGGUCCCAAUGGGUCAUGACAAGUGCAUAUAUCAUAAACAGAUUACCAAGUUGAGUCUUGGAGUUCAAAUCUCCAAUGGAAGUGUUAAAAGGAAGGGAUGUUAAUCUGUCACAUCUUAAAGUCUUUGGGUGCACAUGCUAUGUUCAUAUUCAAUCUCAGCAUAGGGAUAAACUGGACCCUAGGGCUAACAAAUGCAUGUUUCUUGGUUACUUAUCUACUAAAAAAGGUUACAAGUGCCAUAGUCCUAUGUUAAAGAGAGUUGUAGUUUCAAGGGAUGUACAAUUUGAUGAAACUAAGUCAUUUUACAAUAAGCUGUAUGAUGAUCAGUCACAAAGGGAGUCAUGUUUUGAGUGUUUUUUUCCAUUACCAAGGGCUGAGGAACUAUCUUUCGAGAUACAACCUUUUAAUGCUCCUGCUUCAAUUGAUGAAACUCAAGGUAGCGAUCACAACCCUGAGCAACAGAUGCACAAUAAAGAAUCUCCUAUUGAAGAGCCAGAAAUCUCGACAGAAGAAACACAACAGGUCUAAGGUAAAAGAAAUCCAGUGCGUGCUAUACACCUUCCUACAAAGCUUCAAGAUUAUGUGACUUAUUUAGCCAGGCAUCCAAUAAGUGGUUGCAUGUCCUACCAGAAAGUUUCAAAAUCUUAUGCUAUCUAUUUGAACACCAUCACCAGUCACUGUGAGCCUCAAACCUUUCCAGAAGCAAGCUGCCAAGAAGUGUGGAGAAAUGCCAUGAAGGAAGAGCUUCAUGCUCUCACCAAUCACAACACCUGGAGUGUAGUUAGACUUCCUCUAGAAAAAAAAGGCAGUUGGUAGUAAGUGGAUCUACAAGAUCAAAUUCCACUCAAAUGGAUAGAUUGAAAGACACAAAGCUAGGUUGGUGGCUAGAGGAGUCACUCAAACAUAUGUCGUUGACUACAAGGAAACAUUCGCUCUAGUUGCCAAGAUGAACAUUGUGAGGGUGUUAUUGUCUGCUAUUAUGAAUAAAUGAUGGUCUCUAUACCAAAUGGAUGUGAAGAAUGCAUUCUUACAUGGCGACCUUGAAGAGGAGGUCUACAUGAAGCUACCAUCGGGACAUCCUCAAUACAAUGAGCCUGGCAUGGUGUGUAGGUUGUACAAAUCCAUUUAUGGAUUAAAACAAUCCUCAAGAGCCUGGUAUGCCAAGCUCAGUUCGGUUAUUGAAGAACCUGGUUUUCAAAGAAGUCAUGCAGACUCAUCCAUGUUUGUUCGAACAUGAGUGGUUGGCAAACUCGUAGUGUUGAUCUAUGAUGAUGACUUAAUAAUCACAGGGGACAUUGCUGAUGAAAUCACAAACCUCAAGGUCCCUCUACAACAGAAGUUCUCCAUCAAAGAUCUUGGAAGGUUAAAAUAUUUUUCUGGGGAUAGAAAUGGCCUCAUCAAGUAAAUGGCUAUUUCUUAACCAAAGGAAAUAUAUCCUCGAUCUUCUCACGGAAUCAAAUAUGAAUAAUGCCAAGCGAGUUCAAACUCAUCUCAACAGCAAGCUCAAGCUUAGCUUGGAAGGCAAACCUCUGCCUAAUAUUGGUUACUAUUAACGGCUCGUUGGUAAGUUAAUUUAUUUAACUAUCAUAAGACCAAAUAUUACAUAUGCAGUGAGCUUAGCUAGUCAAUUCAUGCAUGCAUCUACAAUAGAACACUUCAACCUCGUUAAGAGAAUACUUCGUUAUCUCAAAUGAUUGAUUGGAAGAGGAAUUCUCAUGAAAAAGAAUGAUAACACUCAAGUUAUUGGUUACUAUGAUGCUGACUGGGCAGGAAACCAAAUAUAUCGAAAGUCUACCACAUGUUAUUGCACGUUUGUAGGAGGAAAUCUGGUAACAUGGAAGAGUAAGAAGCAAAGUGUCAUUGCAAGAUCUAGUGCAGAAGCUAAGUAUAGAUUGAUGGCAUCCACAUCAUGUGAAUUAAUAUGGCUUAAAGGUCUUUUGAGUGAUUUGGGGUUCCAAACAAAGCAACCUAUGUCAAUGUAUUGUGAUAAUCAAGCUGCAAUGCACAUAGUAUCCAAUCCAGUGUUCCACGAAUGAACAAAACAUAUUGAGGUUGAUUGCCACUAUGUCCGUGCUCAUGUGCAAACUCAAGUGAUUUAAACUCUCUACACAAGGAAUGCUGAUCAGUUCGCUGACAUUUUCACCAAACCAUUACCUCCAAAUUAGUUUAAGCGUCUUCUAUCCAAGCUCGGUUCCAUCAACAUUCUGGACCUAACUUGAAGGGGAGUAUUGAAAGUCAAGAGUGGGUUUUUCGAACUAUUGGUUAGGUUGAUUAUUAGGGUGUAGUUGUCACCUUACUUCUAGUUAUAUCUUGUAAAGAUCUUGUAUCUCAUUUCCUAUAUUUCAAGGGUGGUUAUAUCUUUUUAGCUUUUUCCCUUACCUCACUUUAUGCUCCUUGUUUUAUGAAGCUGCUGUUUAGGAGUGAUUCAAGGGUGAUCAGUAUGUUGAUCACUCCUUGCUCUAUACAUCUUGUAUCCUUGUGUUGUUAGUUCCUCAUAAAUUAUAAUACAAACAAACACUUAAAACUCAACAUGGUAUCAGAGCCAAAGGACGGGCUCGUACUGCCAUGUGAUUAGGUGGGUCCUCUUUGGCCCCACACAAUGGGUGAGUCUCGACAUGGCUGGAUGUAAGCCAAAGAUGCCACGUGAUUGGGUGGGUCUCUGUUUGGCCCCGUGCGAUGGAUGAGCCCCGACUUGGCUCCACGUGGUUGCUGGUGUCUAGAUCUCCAAGUGUGACAAAAUGGGGUCUCAUGUGCGAAGGAGUGUUGAAACCCAUUUGUCCCACAUCGGACAGAGGGAAGGAGAAAGAGGCAUUUAAAUAGAAUUACCCCACUCUAACUAACACUAAGGCUUUUUGUUAUAAAACCCCACACCUGACAGAUUGGGCAUGUGGUAAAGUGUGGACAGUAUCGGUGUUGUUGGAGUGGGCCCUUGACCCGUCCACCUGAAAAAUUCUACAGAGAGGGUGAAGAUGGGUAAACCUAGAUAACCAAGGAGGAGAAAGAUGGUGGCAGCAAUGACAGAGGCGGGUCAUUGGUUGCCCUUGACCCUAACAACUUAAAAAAUCCAUGUAUAUAUGUUUGUGUUUUGUAUUUGACCCCUUUAAACAGCUAAGACUUACAACCUCCUCCUACUACUCAUUCUAUUUUCUCCUAUCAUAUUUAUCUUCUUUUCGUCUCUUAUUAUGUGUGAUUCUAUUUGACCCCUUUAAAUAGCUAAGACUUACAACUUCCUCCUCCUACUUAUUCUAUUUCUUCUAUCAUAUUUGUCUUCUUUUCCUCUCUUCUUGUGUGCAACUCUAUUGGGCUCACCAUGUGCUUAAUGAAAUACCUUAGUUGACAAGCCUGUGCAUUCUUCACCAUUACUCUACAAUAUCAUGCAUCUACCCUCGACAAACCUCUACAAAAAUGGUUGUUGACAUAUGUUGGCAUAAGCUUUCAACAUUUGUUGACAAAAAUUGACAUGUGCUUACUAGGUGCUUGACGAAAUAACCCCAACAAUGUUUUUUUGGUUGAUAUUAUGACCCUAUUAUUUGAAGAUUCUGGCUCUGUCACUAGGUGGUAGUGUGGGAGGUGGCGAUGGCAGCAGUGGUUGAGGUGCCAGUUGUGAUAGACAUAGUAAGAUAGCUUACAUGAUUUUUUUUUUAUUAUUAAAAGCUCUAACUUUAUGUUAUACGUACAUUAUGUUUUUAUUAUUUUAGACUAUGUUCUUGGGAAACAUAAAACAUCAAUUUGUUGUCACACUAAAAACUUAGGCUAAAUCUUGUAUUUUGUGUUUUUUGUUUCCCGAGUUUGAUUUUCACCAUCAUAUAAAAAUGUGAUAUCUGAGAUCACACUAGCCAUCCUGUGGCAAGCCUCACUCCACACUUCGAGGCAAUAUUUAGUCUCUACUCGUUCAAGAAUAGUGAGUUCUGGCAGCCAUUGGGGGCUGAGGCAACGCCUUCAACUCUAUAUUGCUGAGAAAAACUAAUCGAAGACUGCGAAUGCCCUCUCCAGGCUCCAUAUCAAAUUUCUUACAAGUAAACUAUCUAGGGUGGUUAAGAAAUUCAUAUUAUCUGGAAAGUUGUAAUAAUUGGUAUUGUUCAUCUUGCUCUUAUGAAAACACGUUUUUUUGAGAAACCUGGUUGAUCUAACGGUUACGAAUAGAGAGCCCAUUUAAAAGUUAUAAUAAAUGUAGUCGUUAGAUCAAAUUUCAACGGUACGCAUUACUAAGUCAUUAACGUUUUGCGCUUAUAAGGAGAGCUCAACAAUGACGUUUUUUUUAAUUAAGAGGUAUUGGCCUUAAUUGGAGAGAAAAAUUUGUUUGGAUUGACUUCAGUUGAGAAAAAUUGUUUCUGGCCUUUUGUUAACUUUAAAUAUGAAAUUAUUUAUUAAUGUAAAUCGAAAAGACCUAUACAAUAUGUUGUUUCCUCUCAACGAAAUUUAUUAGAAUAAGAUUUGUUAUUUACUUGGGGUAAAAACAUAUUACUUCGACUCGAUUUUUGUGGUAAAUGGCAUUGUUAUGGUUUUUUUUUCAACUCUCAAUGGUACGAAAGGAAUUUUAUUAAUAACAGAAAAGAAAGUUAAAAAAACAUUAUUAUGGUUGUCCAUAAUUAUUUUGCUGAUAUUGUACGCUUUACUAAGAACAAAUUAUGUAAUACAUUAUAAAUAUAUGUUGAACAGUUAGCCAAUAUAUUUACAUGGCAUUUAUUCCACCUACAAUUUUUAGGUCAUACUUCUAGCAUAUCACACAAACAAAGAAUCACAUUUAACCUUUGCUUAGUUUACUAUUUAACUAUAAUUAGUACUACAGAAGCUUUAAAUUGAGACACUGUUGGGAAUUCCCUUGCCAGUAAGUCCACCUCCACUAGUAGGAAACAGCAAAGUGUAAGGCACCUUCACAAGUCCAACGCGGUUUUUCAACUUCUCGUCAUUGUUCAUACUUAUAAUCCUCUCCUCAAUCUCCUCCAGUUUCUUUCCAAACUUGUUGAAUGCUUCCAAUGGCGCAGCAUCUGCUGUCCACUCGGGCGUGUCUCGCUUACCCAAGUACACUUCAUCAGUAGAAUGCCUUGACAAAAUUUCAAUGAGGGAAAUGCCAAGCAGUGUCUGCAGCUGAGCAGUGACUGUUUUCAAGAACACUUUGUCGGGGUUGGACUUGAGCUCUUCGUAUUCAGCAGUUCCCUUUACGGGCAUGAAUUUUCGGCUUAUAGUAGGGCGGUUGGGAAGGUAUCCGGCGUAAGGGUACUGUCCGAAGUUGACAGCUGCAUGGAGGGCAGAAGCAGUCCAUAUGAUAAUUGUGCAGAUUUCAACUAGCUCUUCGAAAGUCUGCAAUUUUGGCCACCAGGGCUCGUCUUUUUUGUCACCGUGGCCUUCCUCUACUAGCUCCUUCCACCAGGAUUGGAGCUCGGCGUCUUUCUGGAUUAUAUCAUCGGUCUUGUAGUAGAAAGAGCAGUAGUCUGCAACCCAUGUUCUUAUUGCAAACCAGAUUUCAAUCCCAUCGACAGCAUACGGGUAGUCCUCGAUCAGUAGGCAAAGACCGUGUGGAUAAUUUUUAUCCUUCACUACCACUCCUCUGUUUUGAUCAAAGCCAAGGCAACGUGAUUAGAACAAGAAAUGAAUAUUAUCACUAAGGUAAAUAAUUUCCGCUCCCCAUUUUCUACUUUUGCACACCACUAUUUAUUUAUGCACCUUGAUUCUCUCUUGAUUUAUUCAAUUCAAAGUCCGAAAGUAUAAAUUUUUUGUUUACCUUUUGAUGAGAUCGGCAGGGAGAGCUUGCUCAUUGAAAUUCCAAUCCUUGUACACAACUGAUGACAUCUCCAUGGCAUACCUAGCUGGGAAAACUGUCGUCUCAAGAAUACCGCCAGCAUUGAUGAGGAUUUGCCUCGCAAAUGCAUUGAUGUUCAUCGUGUCACGGAAGUGAGGAUGCAGAAGUUUGUAAAUCGGGUGAACCACGCUUAGUUGCCUGUUUGUGGCAAUUACAACUGGCUCACUCACUGCAUGAGUGUUCAACCAGUGGCUGAUGAGUUGAUGGACUCCGGAGUCAUUGACAGCCACAUAAGCUUUAGCCAGUUGCCAUAUGGAACCUUCCACACCUUGUUCAGCUGGUGUGUAGACAUUACUAAUGCAACCAAAUUGAUCUCCUUCGGGAUGAGGCAAGCUCAACUCGAUCACCAAUGGUUUCAAAGUUCCAUCAUUUUGCAAGAACAACAGAGUUCUGCUACCGUAGAUCUUGUUCGAAGUUGAGUUUAUCCGCCUCAGGUACGGCAUCAGUGAAUCAUGAUGGUCUAGUAUGAAUAACUUGUUUUUCUUGAGUGCCUGUUCAACCAAAUUCAUUUUCACCAUUACAAUUUGAUACAGAACCAACAUAAUCUAAUUGCAAAGUAACAGCAUAUUGUAAGUUUUUUUUUUCUUUCAACGAAACGAAUAAAAUAUUUUACCUCAUCCACUGUUAGUCCAUCCAAGUUGUUCUUUAUAUGUUCUUUGGUUAUUGUACUGUUUUGAUCACCGUAAACUUUUGGAUCUAGCUUGCUUGCUGGCGGAAAUUCCUGCAAUUCAAUAAGAUGCAUGAUUAGAGAUGAAGCGAAAAAUAACAUUUAGAAAGUUUUGUUGGUCUCUUGUGUCCAUUUAUUUCAUUAUCAUUGCAGAAAAUCCACGAAAGGUUAUGCGAAGAUUACUUGGAGACGAGCAAUGUUGACAGGGUUUACUCCAGCCAGCAUUUCCCUCGCAAAUUCUUCAUCGGUCCUCCAAGCAGAUUUAUCCUCUUUACCCAAUCAAAAUAUCACAGUCAGAACUUAGACGAAAGAAAAUAGUGCAUUAUUUCGUAGGCUAUUGCUUGUGUUGUAAGGCUCUAAAUUCAAAAUGUUUUCGUUACCUUUGAUCACUUGAGGCUUUGGGAAUUUGAGCAAUUGUGCACCAUCAGUUCGGAAAAUUUCCUUCAGCAUCUCCGCAGGGAUCUUGUCUCCAAUAUCCUUCAAUAAACCUUCAGGCAACGGAAUGCCUCCUUCGUAGAGCUUAAGCACAUCUUCAAAGCUGUCAAACUCGCUAGGAGUUUGGUCGAACAAGGAUUCUAGCUCCGGUGUAAUGAACUGAGCUGUGGAUUUCAGGGCAUAAACAAGGAAGUCUGACAGCUUCAAGUGUCCAAAUCUUUCAUCCCUUGGAACGUAGAUGUUUAAGCUCUGAAUAAGCGGCAGAUUACUCUCGCUGUUAGGAUCUGUCAAUAAGAUCAGAAAAAUCUUAGUGAUCAUAACAUCAUCAGUUCAUUAAAUUCCAUAUUAGUAUAUCAAGUUUACACUUUUUAAUAAACAUUAACUCUAAAGAUACCGAAAACUAGAUUAACUUUGGAUUCUCAUUAGUAACUCUAAAAAAAUAGAGAAAAUAUUGCAGAUCGCUAACCUGUCCUAGUUGGUGGUCGGCCAGUUCUUCCACGACGAGGGUAAGGGUACUCACUAGACCCUCCGAGAACAGGACGGACGUAUUUGGCACCUUCAUCAGGUUUCCCCAAAUCAUUGUAGUAAGCAUAGUCAUAAACCCUGUCCCAUUCUUGGAGCUCUCCUUUUCCAUUACCCCUCAAGUGUACUAGCUCCUCUUCUCUGUAUUUUCGCAACGGCAAUGGUGUCUCACUUGGAAGAUAAGUCUGCACAAACAUAUAGCAGGCAUGAACUUUAGUCUUUAGCUUAGGAUACCAUAUAUUCUCAAUCUCUCCAAAAAAAAAAAAAAAAAAAAAUUAAAGCAGGUACUGAUGAUACGUGCAAAUCAUUCGUUACCUUGUUGACGAAGAAAACACGGUCUGUGGUGUAUUUUUCAGUAGGGUACACCCAAGAGUUGCAAACGAUGUGUACACGGCCCUCACCGGGAACAUUUUCGAGUGUGACGGUCUUGAGGAAGAACUCACUGUGGUGGUUGUUUUUGAUUAAGAAUGCUCCUGGAACUCCUACUUCCUCUUCAUAGUCAAAUGUAACCUUGAAUGCAGACUCUCCUGUUGUUAAAG